rnacentral:rRNA from 1 species
GUGGGGAAUAUUGCGCUAAUGCGCGAAAGCGUGACGCAGCGACACCGCGUGGGGGAUGAAUGCCUUCGGGUUGUAAACCCCUUUCGACAGGGAAGAAGCUAACGUGACGGUACCUGUAGAAGAAGUCCCGGCUAACUACGUGCCAGCAGCCGCGGUAAGACGUAGGGGACGAGCGUUGUCCGGAUUUAUUGGGCGUAAAGCGCGCGCAGGCGGUUACGCAAGUCGGGAGUGAAAAUCCGGGGCUCAACCCCGGACCUGCACCCGAUACUGCGUGACUAGAGGUAGGUAGGGGAGAUCGGAAUUCCUGGUGUAGCGGUGAAAUGCGCAGAUAUCAGGAGGAACACCGGUGGCGAAGGCGGAUCUCUGGGCCUUACCUGACGCUCAGGCGCGAAAGCUAGGGGAGCGAACAGGAUUAGAAACCCGAGUAGUCC